CGCGUAGGCGGGAUGGCAAGUCAGAUGUGAAAUCUGGGGGCUCAACCCUCAAACUGCAUUUGAAACUGUCGUUCUUGAGUAUCGGAGAGGCAAGUGGAAUUCCUAGUGUAGCGGUGAAAUGCGUAGAUAUUAGGAGGAACACCAGUGGCGAAGGCGGCUUGCUGGACGACAACUGACGCUGAGGCGCGAAAGCGUGGGGAGCAAACA
rnacentral:rRNA from 1 species